CCCUUAGAUGUUCUGGGCCGCACGCGCGCUACACCGACUACUUCAACGAGUUGUUUCCUUGAUCGAAAGGUCUGGGUAAUCUUUGAAAGGUAGUCGUGAUGGGGAUAGAUCCUUGCAAUUUUUGAUCUUCAACGAGGAAUUCCUAGUAAACGCAAGUCAUCAGCUUGCAUUGAUUACGUCCCUGCCCUUUGUACACACCGCCCGUCGCACCUACCGAUUGAAUGGUCCGGUGAAUCUUUAGGACUGUGGCUGAGGCCUUGCCUUGUGCGGGUCUGGCCGUGGGAAUUUAGUUAAACCUUACCAUUUAGAGGAAGGUGAAGUCGUAACA
rnacentral:rRNA from 1 species